AAUAGAUACCCAGGUAGUCCACGCCCUAAACGAUGUCUACUAGUUGUCGGGUCUUAAUUGACUUGGUAACGCAGCUAACGCGUGAAGUAGACCGCCUGGGGAGUACGGUCGCAAGAUUAAAACUCAAAGGAAUUGACGGGGACCCGCACAAGCGGUGGAUGAUGUGGAUUAAUUCGAUGCAACGCGAAAAACCUUACCUACCCUUGACAUGUCAGGAACCUCCGAGAGAUUGGAGGGUGCCCGAAAGGGAGCCUGAACACAGGUGCUGCAUGGCUGUCGUCGGCUCGUGUCGUGAGAUGUUGGGUUAAGUCCCGCAACGAGCGCAACCCUUGUCAUUAGUUGCUACGCAAGAGCACUCUAAUGAGACUGCCGGUGACAAACCGGAGGAAGGUGGGGAUGACGUCAAGUCCUCAUGGCCCUUAUGGGUAGGGCUUCACACGUCAUACAAUGGUACAUACAGAGGGCCGCCAACCCGGCGAGGGGGAGCUAAUCCCAGAAAGUGUAUCGUAGUCCGGAUCGCAGUCUGCAACUCGA
rnacentral:rRNA from 1 species